rnacentral:rRNA from 1 species
UACGUAGGGGCCGAACGUUGUGCGAAUUUACUGGGCGUAAAGGGUGCGUAGGCGGUUUAGUAAGUGGUUGGUGAAAGUUCACGGCUCAACCGUGAAACUGCCUUGCAAACUGCUAAGCUUGAGGCACGGAGAGGCCGGCGGAAUUGCCGGUGUAGCGGUGAAAUGCGUAGAUAUCGGGAGGAACACCAGUGGCGAAGGCAGGGGACUGGAACUGGCCUGACGCUGAGGGGCGAAAGCUUGGGGAGCAAACCGG